rnacentral:lncRNA from 1 species
GUCUAGGUACCGCCCAAUGUCUCAGUUCACUCCUGUUGCCUGCAAGAUGUAGAACUCAAGGUUCCUUCUCCAGCACUGUCUAUCUUCAUGCAGCCACGUCCCACCAUGAUGAUAAUGGGCUAAACCUCUAAACUCUGCCCGAGUGUUGCAGUAAUGCGGAUUAAAUGGGAGCAAGUAAUGGAUGAGUAUGAUCAAAUUUCUCCACCAAGUUUUGGUCUGACCCAAUGAAGCAUCCAAACAAGCCAUGAUUCUUCAAGAUAAACUUGGGGAAGUACAAAAAGCCAGAGGCUCAGAGUCACCACUUAUUUCCGAAUGAGAGAGGACUCCUGAGUACAGGGAGAGGUUGAUUCCAGACCCAGACUCAAACAUCUUAACCCUAACACUAACCCUAACCCUCAAACACUCUGUACUCCCCCACCCCCCAAUCUGGAACGGUCCAGACCUACCCAAGAUCACACAGUAGUUCACAAACUGACCAAUGGCCUCAGUGGCUGCCAGCUCACAAGAGCAAGGUGAGCCUUAACUGUUGAGGAUGCUGUAGGUUUACCAGGGACCAACCCCGAGCCUUAGUUAGCAGGAAUACCGCUGUGGCUCCCAUUGUGUAGACUCUGCAGUGCCCAUGUGCUCUGCCAUCAACAAAUGCACCAGAGGAGAAAGAGAGCCAUCAGAAGGGCAAGAGUCGAGACUCAAGCACAGAAGAGCAGCCUGAACGUGAGAGAAAACGCAGUUCGGUGAAAUGGAUUUAACCAAUACAGGAGCAUCCAAAGAAGAAAAUGAAGGUUGAAACAAACGACAGGAAGGUGCUGAAAAGCUUAAGAUUUGGAAAGAGGAAAACAAACAAACAAACAAAAGCAAGCUGAGAAAUGUCCUCAAGGAAAUAGGACGGAGCCAUGGACAUCAACACAGACUGAGGCAAUGGCAAGAACAUGGACCCAAACAUGGUCCUUGGCAGCAGCCCAGGCCCAGAUGACACCAUGGCCCUUGGUGGCGGCAGUGCAGGCCACUCAGAUCGUCACCUUUACCAUCAUCACCAUCACCAUCAUCACCAUCAUCACCAUCAUCAUCACCAUCAUCACCAUCACCAUCAUCACCAUCAUCACCAUCAUCAUCACCAUCAUCACCAUCACCAUCAUCACCAUCAUCAUCACCAUCACCAUCAUCAUCACCAUCACCAUCAUCACCAUCAUCAUCACCAUCAUCCUCAUCAUCACCAUCAUCACCAUCACCAUCAUCAUCCUCACCAUCAUCACCAUCAUCAUCCUCACCAUCAUCACCAUCACCAUCACAUCACCAUCAAUCAUCAUCAUCAUCAUCACCAUCAUCCUCACCAUCAUCACCAUCAUCACCAUCAUCAUCAUCACCAUCAUCAUCAUCACCAUCAUCACCAUCAUCACCAUCAGCACUAUUAUCAUCACCAUCAUCACCAUCAUCACCAUCAUCAUCACCAUCAUCAUCACCAUCAAUCAUCAUCAUCAUCAUCACCAUCAUCACCAUCAUCAUCCUCACCAUCAUCACCAUCAUCACCAUCACCAUCACCAUCAUCAUCAUCAUCACCAUCAUCACCAACACUAUAAGCUAUAAGCUUACACUGCUGUGAUGUCCUUAAAAUAAAGAUCUUGACUUGUCUACCUCUUUGCUUUUGUUCUUUGCAGCCUCUUGCCAAGCCAAAGUCCUUCACCAGUCCCUGCCCUACUGUUUGCCAUCCAUUGGGGUUCACUGAGGCUCCUGUCAACUGCAAGAAGGGGCUCAUGGGAAUGCAGCCAUGACUAUAUGCCCAUGACCGUUUCUUCACACUUGAUCUUGGCUCUAGUGAGUUUACUAUUUUGGUGGGAAUAGGAAACUGUGGCUUAGAAAACAAACUAUCCCAGUUAGAAAGAUGUAUUUUGAGAAUAUAAUACCAGAAGUCAUCUCUUUGUUUGAGACAGGGUCUCAUUAUGUAGCAUUGGCUGUCCUGAAACAUGCUCCGUAGACCUGUCUGGCCUUCAUCUCAUGGAGAUCCAGCUGUCUCUGCCUCCCAGUGCUAAGAUGAAAGGUGUAUAGGACCACGCUCAUUUGUAGUAAUUUUUGAGUUGUUAUAUGAAAUAUAAUUAUAAAUACAUGCAAUUGAGAUUUUCCUACAUCCAGUGCCCCUUCACCUCUGUGGUGGGUCGGCAGCGAGCCUGUCAGCUUAGGAAUUCUGCAGACACUAAGUCUUUCAGAGAAAUCUAGGAUUACAAGGCACACCCACCCUGCCAAGUGCCCUUCAGCGAGGCCUCUUCUCCACUAUGCUUAUCGGAAACCACCAAAGAUGCAGGGUGCGUUCAUCCUUGCAGGUUUCGGUUCAUCCAUGUAGCCGUUCUCACAACUGCUGUGCUUUUCAAGAGGCAGGAAAAGUUGGCUACACCCUAAGAAGUGGCAGCGGUUGCCUUUGUAUUCAGGAAAAGGCACUGCGUCUGUGGCAGUUAGCUCG